rnacentral:rRNA from 1 species
AUUGAACGCUGGCGGCAUGCCUUACACAUGCAAGUCGAACGGUAGAGGGGCAACCCUCGAGAGUGGCGAACGGGUGAGUAACGCAUCGGAACGUGCCCAGUAGUGGGGGAUAGCCCGGCGAAAGCCGGAUUAAUACCGCAUACGACCUACGGGUGAAAGCGGGGGAUCGCAAGACCUCGCGCUAUUGGAGCGGCCGAUGUCAGAUUAGGUAGUUGGUGGGGUAAAAGCCUACCAAGCCGACGAUCUGUAGCUGGUCUGGGAGGACGACCAGCCACACUGGGACUGAGACACGGCCCAGACUCCUACGGGAGGCAGCAGUGGGGAAUUUUGGACAAUGGACGCAAGUCUGAUCCAGCCAUGCCGCGUGCGGGAAGAAGGCCUUCGGGUUGUAAACCGCUUUUGUCAGGGAAGAAACGCUCUGAGCUAAUACCUCGGAGUAAUGACGGUACCUGAAGAAUAAGCACCGGCUAACUACGUGCCAGCCGCCGCAGUAAUAC